rnacentral:rRNA from 1 species
AUUGAACGCUGGCGGCAGGCCUAACACAUGCAAGUCGGACGGUAGCACAGAGGAGCUUGCUCCUUGGGUGACGAGUGGCGGACGGGUGAGUAAUGUCUGGGGAUCUGCCCGAUAGAGGGGGAUAACCACUGGAAACGGUGGCUAAUACCGCAUAACGUCGCAAGACCAAAGAGGGGGAACUUCGGGCCUCUCACUAUCGGAUGAACCCAGAUGGGAUUAGCUAGUAGGCGGGGUAAUGGCCCACCUAGGCGACGAUCCCUGGCUGGUCUGAGAGGAUGACCAGCCACACUGGGACUGAGACACGGUCCAGACUCCUACGGGAGGCAGCAGUGGGGAAUAUUGCACAAUGGGCGCAAGCCUGAUGCAGCCAUGCCGCGUGUAUGAAGAAGGCCUUCGGGUUGUAAAGUACUUUCAGCGGGGAGGAAGGCGACGCGGUUAAUAACCGCGUCGAUUGACGUUACCCGCAGAAGAAGCACCGGCUAACUCCGUGCCAGCAGCCGCCGUAA